rnacentral:pre_miRNA from 1 species
AAUGGGAUAGAUGGGUCAUAUGGUUGUUCCAUUCCUAGUUUUUUGAGGAAUCUCCACACUGUUUUCCAGAGUGAAUGUACUAAUUUGCACUCCCUCCACCAAU